rnacentral:rRNA from 1 species
AUUGAACGCUGGCGGCAUGCCUUACACAUGCAAGUCGAACGGCAGCACGGGUGCUUGCUCCUGGUGGCGAGUGGCGAACGGGUGAGUAAUACAUCGGAACAUGUCCUGUAGUGGGGGAUAGCCCGGCGAAAGCCGGAUUAAUACCGCAUACGAUCCACGUAUGACAGCGGGGGACCUUCGGGCCUCGCGCUAUAGGGUUGGCCGAUGGCGGAUUAGCUAGUUGGUGGGGUAAAGGCCUACCAAGGCGACGAUCAGUAGCUGGUCUGAGAGGACGACCAGCCACACUGGGACUGAGACACGGCCCAGACUCCUACGGGAGGCAGCAGUGUGGAAUUUUGGACAAUGGGCGAAAGCCUGAUCCAGCAAUGCCGCGUGUGUGAAGAAGGCCUUCGGGUUGUAAAGCACUUUUGUCCGGAAAGAAAUCCUUGACUCUAAUACAGUCGGGGGAUGACGGUACCGGAAGAAUAAGCACCGGCUAACUACGUG